AGGAGGAGGAGGACAGAAGGAGGGAGGAGGAGGAGGAAAGCAUCAGUGAGCUGCAGGGCAACUUCAAGCAUCCUGAGGUAUACGUAAAUUGAUUUCCAGAAGAGGAGAGGGGACUAGACAAGGAGAAGGGGAGAAAAACACUGAAGGUCAAGACAAACUGCAAUAUGGAUGCUGUGUUUCUUGAGCUCGAUGGAGCCCAGAAUAAGACGGUCAAGAAACUUGAAGCAAUUUAACACUAGCCUUUCUUGACAUAGGAGCAGCGGUGGAGAAAGCAAGAGCAUGUUUAUUCCUCAACCUCCUCUGCUCAUAGGCAGACAAUGGCCAAAGUGGCAACUGGACCAGAUGCCUUCAUCCAGUUCUCAGCAGCAGGCAGGCAGGAUGAUCGGUUUCCUAACUUGCCUUCCUCUGCCUUCAGCACAAGGAAACAGCCAGUGAUGGAGUAACUGAGCUUGCGGCAGCUCAUGCUGGCAAUGCACCUGCUAAGUAUUAAACUAGAAGCUGUUGUUUCCCCUACAGACAUUUCUGUUUGGGUUUCUAUAAAUCUAUGUGCUACAUACAGAAAUCAUGUUUAAUUGAACACAAUGAGCUGACUCAAAGCAUAUCAAAAAAUUGUGAUGCACCAUUUCCCAUCCUUACCUGCCUUCCUGCUGGAACUUCCCAGGGAGGUACUGGCCAGGGCAGAUCUUGCUCACCCUGCCGAAAUAUGCUGAUAGAUUUUCAGAAUCCACAGGCUUUGUUUGCUCAGGAUUGUUUUUUCUCUCUCACUCAUCUAUUCUUUCAUCAUUGAAUCAAAAGAAAAACCUGCAAAAGGGAUUCUAACACAUGUCUUCAACCAGCAGCCUCAUUAGAUGGGAGGUCAUCGCCUGGCCAAGACUUUUCAACAAUGAUGCCCAUUCCAGGAUGAGCAUCAGGAUAAAGCAUUUACUCCAGAGGUCUGAAGAGCUGUUGAUGGCACCUGGGCUCCUCAGCCCAGCAACACAGGCAGUGGAAACACAGCAGAGUCUGGUGCCACAGAAGCAGGUCCGAAAUAUGUUUGUGCUACUUGUAACCUUGAAAAGUCAUAUAUAUUUGGAUUCAUGUUUUAUUUUUGUCUUAAGGGACAUAUCCUCCUAUUAUAAUGUCUCAUAUUAUCUUCUUUUUAUUUCUUGAUAUUUUAAUUCUUGAAAUGUAAUGUAUGUGCAUGCUGAAAAAAAUAAAAGCACUAACAACUAUCCUAUAAAAAAUAGGCUCACAUUAGUGAUAUCCUAGUUCUUAAGCUAGGUUGUAAGAAAAUGGGUAUUUGUUUUGCUCUCAUUUCUUUAUGCAUGUACAUCCUUGUAUAUGUUUGUAUGCGGGUGUGUAGGUACAUAUGUAUGCACGAGUGUAUGUAUGAAAGUCUCAUUAUUACUCUUGAAGCCAGUAUUAUAUUAUUUAUAUAAUAAAUUUAUA